GACGAACGCUGGCGGCGUGCCUAAUACAUGCAAGUAGAACGCUGAAGGAGGAGCUUGCUUCUCUGGAUGAGUUGCGAACGGGUGAGUAACGCGUAGGUAACCUGCCUGGUAGCGGGGGAUAACUAUUGGAAACGAUAGCUAAUACCGCAUAAGAGUAGAUGUUGCAUGACAUUUGCUUAAAAGGUGCAAUUGCAUCACUACCAGAUGGACCUGCGUUGUAUUAGCUAGUUGGUGGGGUAACGGCUCACCAAGGCGACGAUACAUAGCCGACCUGAGAGGGGGAUCGGCCACACUGGGACUGAGACACGGCCCAGACUCCUACGGGAGGCAGCAGUAGGGAAUCUUCGGCAAUGGACGGAAGUCUGACCGAGCAACGCCGCGGGAGUGAAGAAGGGUUUCGGAUCGUAAAGCUCUGUUGUAAGAGAAGAACGAGUGUGAGAGUGGAAAGUUCACACUGUGACGGUAGCUUACCAGAAAGGGACGGCUAACUACGUG
rnacentral:rRNA from 1 species